rnacentral:rRNA from 1 species
UACAGAGGUCCCGAGCGUUGUUCGGAUUCACUGGGCGUAAAGGGUGCGCAGGUGGUUUGGCAAGUUUGAUGUGAAAGCCCCGGGCUUAACCCGGGAAUGGCAUUGAAUACUGCUUGAACUGGAGGGUCGGAGGGGGGACUGGAAUUCUUGGUGUAGCAGUGAAAUGCGUAGAGAUCGGGAGGAACAUCAGUUGCGAAGGCGGCUCUCUGGACCAGCACUGACACUGAGGCACGAAAGCGUGGGGAGCAAACAGG